AUAAAUGCAUAUAUGCUACCGUUUCGAAUUACGCUUUAAAAUUAUCCGAAAAGUAGGGUAGCGAAUUAAAAGGAUACCGCGUCAUGAAGCGCUUCCUGUUAGCCCACAGGUUUUCACAGGUAACAAGUGAACGCAGGUGAUACGGUACCUGAUCGCGUAUCAUUCAUUACAUUGCAAAUAAAUGGUAGAUUAUCAAUUGUGCGGUGAAGAAGUAAUCGAGACUUCGGUGGAACAACCAGUAUGCAGAAGCAACUAAUGGUAUACUGUGUUACAUUUGGGGUAAGUUCAACUGUCGGUGAUGGUCAGACUGAAAGACAUUUUUACUUCAUGAAACAUGAAUCCCACUGGAAUCACAACUAGCUUUGGUCCUGGCCUUUUGCAGAUGCAACAUGCAGCAUGUCCUCUUGAUGUGCAAGGAAAAGGAAGACUUACUGAUGGUGGACUUAAUUGAGGUGUUACAGCUGUAGAUGUUGAUGGUGCAGAUUCAAUUUGACAAUCUGUCGUGUUUGCCAUGAUGUGAUCUUAACAUUUUAUGUGACAUGCGCACAUACAGCUGCAUCUGUUGCAUAGGAAGUCAUUGUCAUCUGGUGUUCUCACAGAGACUUUGGAGAUAAUGACUCUGUAUUAUCUUGCGAUGCUAUAUCUGUCUUUCUGCCGUACACCAGUUGUAAUUACCAGGCAUCUGGAAUGUCAAAUAAAAUCUGUUUAAUUUU